GCAGCAGUGGGGAAUAUUGCACAAUGGGCGGAAGCCUGAUGCAGCGACGCCGCGUGAGGGAUGACGGCCUUCGGGUUGUAAACCUCUUUCAGCAGGGAAGAAGCGAGAGUGACGGUACCUGCAGAAGAAGCACCGGCUGACUACGUGCCAGCAGCCGCGGUAAUACGUAGGGUGCGAGCGUUGUCCGGAAUUAUUGGGCGUAAAGAGCUCGUAGGCGGCGUGUCACGUCGGAUGUGAAAGCCCGGGGCUUAACCCCGGGUCUGCAUUCGAUACGGGCUCGCUAGAGUUCGGUAGGGGAGAUCGGAAUUCCUGGUGUAGCGGUGAAAUGCGCAGAUAUCAGGAGGAACACCGGUGGCGAAGGCGGAUCUCUGGGCCGAUACUGACGCUGAGGAGCGAAAGCGUGGGGAGCGAACAGGAUUAGAU
rnacentral:rRNA from 1 species